CGGGUGAGUAACGCGUGAGGAACCUGCCUCAAAGAGGGGGACAACAGUUGGAACGACCGCUAAUACCGCAUAAGCCCACGGCUCGGCAUCGAGCAGAGGGAAAAGGAGCAAUCCGCUUUGAGAUGGCCUCGCGUCCGAUUAGCUAGUUGAUGAGGUAACGGCCCACCAAGGCGACGAUCGGUAGCCGGACUGAGAGGUUGAACGGCCACAUUGGGACUGAGACACGGCCCAG
rnacentral:rRNA from 1 species